rnacentral:tRNA from 2 species
GGCUCCGUCGUCUAGUGGCCCAGGACGCCGCCCUCUCAAGGCGGUAGCGGCGGUUCGAAUCCGCUCGGGGCUACCA